AGGGUUUGAUUAUGGCUCAGAUUGAACGCUGGCGGUAUGCUUAACACAUGCAAGUCGAACGGAAACGAAACUAGCUUGCUAGUAGGCGUCGAGUGGCGGACGGGUGAGUAACGCGUAGGAAUCUGCCUGAUAGUGGGGGAUAGCCCGAAGAAAUUCGGAUUAAUACCGCAUAAUCUAUUCGUAGUAAAGUGGGGGACUUUCGAGCCUCACGCUAUCAGAUGAGCCUGCGUAAGAUUAGCUUGUUGGUAGGGUAAAAGCCUACCAAGGCUACGAUCUUUAGCUGGUCUGAGAGGAUGAUCAGCCACAUCGGGACUGAGACACGGCCCGAACUCCUACGGGAGGCAGCAGUGGGGAAUAUUGGACAAUGGGGGCAACCCUGAUCCAGCAAUACCGCGUGUGUGAAGAAGGCCUGAGGGUUGUAAAGCACUUUCAAUUGUGAAGAAAAGUUAACGGUUAAUAACCGUUGACCUUGACGUUAACUUUAGAAGAAGCACCGGCUAACUCCGUGCCAGCAGCCGCGGUAAUACGGAGGGUGCAAGCGUUAAUCGGAAUUACUGGGCGUAAAGCGUGCGUAGGCGGUUUAUUAAGUCAGAUGUGAAAGCCCCGGGCUUAACCUGGGAACUGCAUUUGAAACUGGUCAACUAGAGUAUGGUAGAGGAAAGUGGAAUUUCUGGUGUAGCGGUGAAAUGCGUAGAUAUCAGAAGGAACAUCAAUGGCGAAGGCAGCUUUCUGGACCAAUACUGACGCUGAGGUACGAAAGCGUGGGUAGCAAACAGGAUUAGAUACCCUGGUAGUCCACGCCGUAAACGAUGAUAACUAGCCGUUGGGGGGAUUUACCCCUUAGUGGCGAAGCUAACGCGUUAAGUUAUCCGCCUGGGGAGUACGGCCGCAAGGCUAAAACUCAAAGGAAUUGACGGGGACCCGCACAAGCGGUGGAGCAUGUGGUUUAAUUCGAUGCAACGCGAAGAACCUUACCUGGUCUUGACAUCCUGCGAACUUUCUAGAAAUAGAUUGGUGCCUUCGGGAACGCAGUGACAGGUGCUGCAUGGCUGUCGUCAGCUCGUGUCGUGAGAUGUUGGGUUAAGUCCCGUAACGAGCGCAACCCCUAUCCUUAUUUGCCAGCACAUUAUGGUGGGAACUAUAAGGAGACUGCUGGUGAUAAACCGGAGGAAGGCGGGGACGACGUCAAGUCAUCAUGGCCCUUACGACCAGGGCUACACACGUGCUACAAUGGGAAGGACAAAGAGCCGCGAAGCCGCGAGGUGUAGCUAAUCUCAUAAAUCUUUUCGUAGUCCGGAUUGGAGUCUGCAACUCGACUCCAUGAAGUCGGAAUCGCUAGUAAUCGUAGAUCAGAAUGCUACGGUGAAUACGUUCCCGGGUCUUGUACACACCGCCCGUCAUACCAUGGGAGUGGGUUGCACCAGAAGUGGCUAGUCUAACUUAGUGAGGACGGUCACCACGGUGUGAUUCAUGACUGGGGUAAAGUCGUAACAAGGUAACC
rnacentral:rRNA from 1 species